UACGGGGGGGAGCAAGCGUUGUUCGGAUUUACUGGGCGUAAAGGGCGCGUAGGCGGUCGUGACAAGUCACUUGUGAAAUCUCUGGGCUUAACUCGGAACGGUCAAGUGAUACUGUCGGACUAGAGUACAGAAGGGGCAACUGGAAUUCUCGGUGUAGCGGUGAAAUGCGUAGAUAUCGAGAGGAACACCUGCGGCGAAGGCGGGUUGCUGGGCUGAUACUGACGCUGAGGCGCGAAAGCCAGGGGAGCGAACGGG
rnacentral:rRNA from 1 species